rnacentral:lncRNA from 1 species
GUCACCCUGGGGGUUUGGGGUGAAUCCGGGGGAUUUCGGGGCGGUUUUGGGGCGAUUUUUGGGCGAUUUUGGGUCGAUUUUGGGGCAGUUUUUGGGGUGAUUUUGGGGUGAUUUUGGGGCGAUUUUGGGGCAGUUUUUGGGUCGGUUUUUUGGCAGUUUUGGGGCAGAUUUUGGGUGGAUUUUGGGUGGAUUUUUGGUCAGUUUUUGGGGCAGAUUUUGGCCGUUUUCAGGCCGGUUUUUGGGUGGAUUUUGGCCGAUUUUGGCCCACCUGCGUGGCGCGCCGCGCCUGCCGCAUCAGGCGGCUCCGGGCCUUGCGCUGCGACUCCGACUCCUCGUCCCGCGCCGGCGGCUGGAACGGCCUGCGGGGUUGGGGAGAAAAA